AUUCCUUGAUGACCGAUAGCGAAGAAGUACUGUGAAGGAAAGGUGAAAAGAACCCCGGGAGGGGAGUGAAAGAGAACCUGAAACCUUAUGUUUACAAACAGUCGAAGUUUUUCGGAACGACGGCGUACUUUUUGUAGAACGGUCCGGCGAGUUGCAGUGACAUGCGAGGUUAAGGAGUACAGCUCCGGAGCCGAAGGGAAACCAAGUCUUAACUGGGCGUCUAGUAUGUUAAUGCAGACCCGAAACCGGGUGACCUAUCCAUGGGCAGGUUGAAGUUACCGUAAAAGGUAAUGGAGGACCGAACUCACAUCUGUUGAAAAAGGUGGAGAUGACCUGUGGAUAGCGGAGAAAUUCCAAUCGAACUCGGAGAUAGCUGGUUCUCCUCGAAAUAGCUUUAGGGCUAGCCUUGAGGUAAAGUCUAAUGGAGGUAAAGCACUGAUUGGACGCGGGUCCCCAAAAGGAUACCAACUUCUAUCAAACUCAGAAUGCCAUAUAGAUAUACUCAGGAGUCAGACUAUGUGAGAUAAGUUUCAUAGUCAAAAGGGAAAGAGCCCAGACCGACAGCUAAGGUCCCAAAGUGUGUGUUAAGUGGAAAAGGAUGUUAGGUUUCUAAGACAACUAGGAUGUUGGCUCAGAAGCAGCCACUCAUUUAAAGAGUGCGUAACAGCUCACUAGUCGAGAGGUCUAGCGCCGAAAAUGUCCGGGGCUAAAACACACCACCGAAGCUACGGAAUUACCUAUGGUAAUUGGUAGAGGAGCAUUCUGUAAGGACGAAGCACAAUUGAAAGAGAGUGUGGACGAAACAGAAGAGAGAAUGCCGGAAUGAGUAGCGAGAUAUAUGUGAGAAUCAUAUAGGUCGAAUGUCUAAGGUUUCCUGGGUAAAGCUGAUCUGCUCAGGGUAAGUCGGGACCUAAGGUGAGGGCGAGAGCCGUAAUCGAUGGACAACAGGUAGAAAUUCCUGUACUACGUAUAAUCAGAACUGUGGGGACGCAGGAGGAUAGGAAAACCGGAGAAUGGAAAUAUCCGGCUAAGUACAAAGGUGUGAGUGAUAGGCAAAUCCGUCACUAUAAGCUGAAGUACGAAUGGGAGCGAAGAAAAGUAGCGAAGUUUCUGAAUCCACACUGUCAAGAAAAGCCGCUAUUGCGUUAUACGUACCCGUACCGCAAACCGACACAGGUAGACGAGGAGAAAAUCCACAGACCGACGGGAGAAGUGUUGUUAAGGAACUCGGCAAAAUGACCCCGUAACUUAGGGAUAAGGGGAGCCAACGCAAGUUGGUCACAGAAAAGAGGCUCAAGCGACUGUUUAGCAAAAACAUAGGUCUAUGCGAAACCGUAAGGUGAUGUAUAUGGGCUGACACCUGCCCGGUGCUGGAAGGUCAAAAGGAGAGGUUAGCGUAAGCGAAGCUUUGAAUUCAAGCCCCAGUAAACGGCGGCCGUAACUAUAACGGUCCUAAGGUAGCGAAAUUCCUUGUC
rnacentral:rRNA from 1 species